AUAACUAUUUAGUUACAGGCUUAUGCAAAAUAACAUCAGAUACAGUUUUCUCUAGUUAAUUAAAGUUAACCACCAGGGGGCAGUGAGUCGCUGGGUCAGUCGGCUAACAUAUACAUGUGUGCUCAUUCAUUAUUAAAUGAUUUCCAAAUUUGUGCUAUGUGGAUCUGCAGGAGCCAGGUUAAUCUUAAUAGACUCAAAAUAAUACAGAGAAUGACACAGAGUGGCAUGUUAACAUAAAAAGGUAUCUAGUGCUCUGCUGGGAUCCUAGUAAUAUAUGAGUAUCAGUCACAGCUAGGAAAUGAGUCUUGUGUCCAGUGUCCUUUAUUCCUCCAUGUUAAUGCAGGGUCAGAGUCUCAGUAUGGUCCCCACAGAUCCAUCCGCCGCAAAGGAAAUGUUGCCUCAGGUAAAACGAUUAUUAGCCAUGGUUACUUAACGAAUGUGCACCCUUCAGGGUUGUCUGAUGGGCGGAGAGGGUUCUCC